ACUGGGACUGAGACACGGCCCAGACUCCUACGGGAGGCAGCAGUGGGGAAUUUUGGACAAUGGGCGCAAGCCUGAUCCAGCCAUGCCGCGUGUCUGAAGAAGGCCUUCGGGUUGUAAAGGACUUUUGUCAGGGAAGAAAAGGACAGGGUUAAUACCUCUGUUUGAUGACGGUACCUGAAGAAUAAGCACCGGCUAACUACGUGCCAGCAGCCGCGGUAAUACGUAGGGUGCGAGCGUUAAUCGGAAUUACUGGGCGUAAAGCGAGCGCAGACGGUUACUUAAGCAGGAUGUGAAAUCCCCGGGCUCAACCUGGGAACUGCGUUCUGAACUGGGUGACUAGAGUGUGUCAGAGGGAGGUAGAAUUCCACGUGUAGCAGUGAAAUGCGUAGAGAUGUGGAGGAAUACCGAUGGCGAAGGCAGCCUCCUGGGAUAACACUGACGUUCAUGCUCGAAAGCGUGGGUAGCAAACAGGAUUAGAUACCCUGGUAGUCCACGCCCUAAACGAUGUCAAUUAGCUGUUGGGCAACUUGAUUGCUUAGUAGCGUAGCUAACGCGUGAAAUUGACCGCCUGGGGAGUACGGUCGCAAGAUUAAAACUCAAAGGAAUUGACGGGGACCCGCACAAGCGGUGGAUGAUGUGGAUUAAUUCGAUGCAACGCGAAGAACCUUACCUGGUCUUGACAUGUACGGAAUCCUCCAGAGACGGAGGAGUGCCUUCGGGAGCCGUAACACAGGUGCUGCAUGGCUGUCGUCAGCUCGUGUCGUGAGAUGUUGGGUUAAGUCCCGCAACGAGCGCAACCCUUGUCAUUAGUUGCCAUCAUUUAGUUGGGCACUCUAAUGAGACUGCCGGUGACAAGCCGGAGGAAGGUGGGGAUGACGUCAAGUCCUCAUGGCCCUUAUGACCAGGGCUUCACACGUCAUACAAUGGUCGGUACAGAGGGUAGCCAAGCCGCGAGGUGGAGCCAAUCUCACAAAACCGAUCGUAGUCCGGAUUGCACUCUGCAACUCGAGUGCAUGAAGUCGGAAUCGCUAGUAAUCGCAGGUCAGCAUACUGCGGUGAAUACGUUCCCGGGUCUUGUACACACCGCCCGUCACACCAUGGGAGUGGGGGAUACCAGAAGUAGGUAGGGUAACCGCAAGGAGCCCGCUUACCACGGUAUGCUUCAUGACUGGGGUGAAGUCGUAACAAGGUAGCCGUAGGGGAACCUGCGGCUG
rnacentral:rRNA from 1 species